GGGUGGUUAACUCAGUGGUAGAGUGCUACCUUCACACGGUAGAAGUCAUUGGUUCAAAUCCAAUACCACCUA
rnacentral:tRNA from 1 species